AUUGAACGCUGGCGGAAUGCUUUACACAUGCAAGUCGAACGGCAGCACGGACUUCGGUCUGGUGGCGAGUGGCGAACGGGUGAGUAAUAUAUCGGAACGUGCCCAGUCGUGGGGGAUAACGUAGCGAAAGCUACGCUAAUACCGCAUACGAUCUACGGAUGAAAGCGGGGGAUCGCAAGACCUCGCGCGAUUGGAGCGGCCGAUAUCAGAUUAGGUAGUUGGUGAGGUAAAGGCUCACCAAGCCGACGAUCUGUAGCUGGUCUGAGAGGACGAACAGCCUCACUGGGACUGAGACACGGCCCAGACUCCUACGGGAGGCAGCAGUGGGGAAUUUUGGACAAUGGACGCAAGUCUGAUCCAGCCAUUCCGCGUGCAGGACGAAGGCCUUCGGGUUGUAAACUGCUUUUGUACAGAACGAAAAGGUCUCUAUUAAUACUAGGGGCUCAUGACGGUACUGUAAGAAUAAGCACCGGCUAACUACGUGCCAGCCGCCGCCGUAA
rnacentral:rRNA from 1 species